UUUAGCAUUGUUUCUAGAUCUGAGUAUAUCAAUAUUACCUUGUUCAGAACUUAAAGAGAAAUCUUGAGUUUAUGGACUUCAGGGGGAGUAUGGUCACAAGGCUGAAACUUAAAGGAAUUGACGGAAGGGCAC
rnacentral:rRNA from 1 species